AAUAGCUUGCUUUUUCUAGGCGUCAACCGGCGCACGGGUGAGUAACGCGUAUCCAACCUGCCCAUCACUUGGGGAUAACCUUGCGAAAGUAAGACUAAUACCCAAUGACGUCUCUAGAAGACAUCUGAAGGAGAUUAAAGAUUUAUCGGUGAUGGAUGGGGAUGCGUCUGAUUAGCUUGUUGGCGGGGUAACGGCCCACCAAGGCGACGAUCAGUAGGGGUUCUGAGAGGAAGGUCCCCACAUUGGAACUGAGACACGGUCCAAACUCCUACGGGAGGCAGCAGUGAGGAAUAUUGGUCAAUGGACGAGAGUCUGAACCAGCCAAGUAGCGUGCAGGAAGACGGCCCUAUGGGUUGUAAACUGCUUUUAUAAGGGAAUAGAGUGAGUCUCGUGAGACUUUUUGCAUGUACCUUAUGAAUAAGGACCGGCUAAUUCCGUGCCAGCAGCCGCGGUAAUACGGAAGGUCCGGGCGUUAUCCGGAUUUAUUGGGUUUAAAGGGAGCGUAGGCCGGAGAUUAAGCGUGUUGUGAAAUGUAGGCGCUCAACGUCUGCACUGCAGCGCGAACUGGUUUCCUUGAGUACGCACAAAGUGGGCGGAAUUCGUGGUGUAGCGGUGAAAUGCUUAGAUAUCACGAAGAACUCCGAUUGCGAAGGCAGCUCACUGGAGCGCAACUGACGCUGAAGCUCGAAAGUGCGGGUAUCGAACAGGAUUAGAUAC
rnacentral:rRNA from 2 species